rnacentral:rRNA from 1 species
UACGUAGGGCGCAAGCGUUGUCCGGAAUUAUUGGGCGUAAAGAGCUCGUAGGCGGUUUGUCGCGUCUGCUGUGAAAACCCAGGGCUUAACCCUGGCUUGCAGUGGAUACGGGCAGGCUAGAGUUCGGUAGGGGAGGAUGGAAUUCCUGGUGUAGCGGUGAAAAUGCGCAGAUAUCAGGAGGAACACCGGUGGCGAAGGCGGGGUCUCUGGGCCAUUACUGACACUGAGAAGCGAAAAGCAUGGGG